UUUGAUGGAACAACCCCGGCUGAAUGAAGAAGGCUUUCGGGUCGUAAAACUCUGUUGUUGGAGAAGAAUGGUCGGCAGAGUAACUGUUGUCGGCGUGACGGUAUCCAACCAGAAAGCCACGGCUAACUACGUGCCAGCAGCCGCGGUAAUACGUAGGUGGCAAGCGUUAUCCGGAUUUAUUGGGCGUAAAGCGAGCGCAGGCGGUUUUUUAAGUCUGAUGUGAAAGCCCUCGGCUUAACCGAGGAAGCGCAUCGGAAACUGGGAAACUUGAGUGCAGAAGAGGACAGUGGAACUCCAUGUGUAGCGGUGAAAUGCGUAGAUAUAUGGAAGAACACCAGUGGCGAAGGCGGCUGUCUGGUCUGUAACUGACGCUGAGGCUCGAAAGCAUGGGUAGCGAACAGGAUUAGAUACCCUGGUAGUCCAUGCCGUAAACGAUGAAUGCUAGGUGUUGGAGGGUUUCCGCCCUUCAGUGCCGCAGCUAACGCAUUAAGCAUUCCGCCUGGGGAGUACGACCGCAAGGUUGAAACUCAAAGGAAUUGACGGGGGCCCGCACAAGCGGUGGAGCAUGUGGUUUAAUUCGAAGCAACGCGAAGAACCUUACCAGGUCUUGACAUCUUUUGAUCACCUGAGAGAUCAGGUUUCCCCUUCGGGGGCAAAAUGACAGGUGGUGCAUGGUUGUCGUCAGCUCGUGUCGUGAGAUGUUGGGUUAAGUCCCGCAACGAGCGCAACCCUUAUGACUAGUUGCCAGCAUUUAGUUGGGCACUCUAGUAAGACUGCCGGUGACAAACCGGAGGAAGGUGGGGAUGACGUCAAAUCAUCAUGCCCCUUAUGACCUGGGCUACACACGUGCUACAAUGGAUGGUACAACGAGUUGCGAGACCGCGAGGUCAAGCUAAUCUCUUAAAGCCAUUCUCAGUUCGGACUGUAGGCUGCAACUCGCCUACACGAAGUCGGAAUCGCUAGUAAUCGCGGAUCAGCACGCCGCGGUGAAUACGUUCCCGGGCCUUGUACACACCGCCCGUCACACCAUGAGAGUUUGUAACACCCGAAGCCGGUGGCGUAACCCUUUAGGAGCGAGCCGUCUAAGUGACAACGAUCGU
rnacentral:rRNA from 1 species